rnacentral:lncRNA from 1 species
AGAAGCGUGACACAUCUCUGAACUCUCUAAAGACAGGAAGUAAUACAGGGAAGGCCAGGUUAUAUUUACUGUGUGCUCCAGUUAAAGAGCAGCACAGAGCAGCGACGAUUCCAAAAGAGACUGAGGAUGAAGCCUUUGCCUUCACUGCACUCUGCUGGGGGUUCCUGCCCUGCUCCCCUCCUUCACCCCCUGCCAUCUCCUGCCAGGAAAGUCCCUACAGCACGGGUCCUUGCAUUCUGGGCUUGACAGACAGCAGGUGAUGGGUGCCUGGGCUCUGCUUGCGUCUAACCUUCCACCACAAGAUCCUUGAAGAACCAAGUUGGCCACCUUACCUAUUUCCUCUCUAGUGCACCUAGAAGAUGUUAGAGACUGCACAUUUAAGGUGUGUUCAGAAUGACUCAGAGUGUGAGGGAGCAGAAGCUGAAAUGAGACCACACUCAGGACAGAAGGGUGAUUCCGGAUCCUGCUUCGACCUUCACUUUGUGCUUCCAUCCUUCCACCCUCUUGGCACAGACAAGAUUGCAAACUGUCUCUCCGUGUUAUUUUCCUUUUGUUCCCCCAAAUGAAGUGAGCCCAUCUAUUGCAUCGCUGCAGAAAAUAUUCUCCUGCAGAAGAUAGAGAACAUUUUUAAUUCUGUCUUACA